rnacentral:rRNA from 1 species
AUUGAACGCUGGCGGCAGGCCUAACACAUGCAAGUCGAGCGGAUGAAGGGAGCUUGCUCUUGGAUUCAGCGGCGGACGGGUGAGUAAUGCCUAGGAAUCUGCCUGGUAGUGGGGGAUAACGUCCGGAAAGGGGCGCUAAUACCGCAUACGUCCUGAGGGAGAAAGGGGGGGUUCUUCGGACCUCACGCUAUCAGAUGAGCCUAGGUCGGAUUAGCUAGUUGGUGGGGUAAAGGCCUACCAAGGCGACGAUCCGUAACUGGUCUGAGAGGAUGAUCAGUCACACUGGAACUGAGACACGGUCCAGACUCCUACGGGAGGCAGCAGUGGGGAAUAUUGGACAAUGGGCGAAAGCCUGAUCCAGCCAUGCCGCGUGUGUGAAGAAGGUCUUCGGAUUGUAAAGCCCUUUAAGUUGGGAGGAAGGGCAGUAAGUUUAUCCGUUGCUGUUUUGACGUUACCAAAAGAGAAAGCACCGGCUAACUUCGUG